GACGAACGCUGGCGGCGUGCUUAACACAUGCAAGUCGAACGCUGAAGCUUGGUGCUUGCACUGGGUGGAUGAGUGGCGAACGGGUGAGUAAUACGUGAGUAACCUGCCCUUGACUCUGGGAUAAGCCUGGGAAACUGGGUCUAAUACUGGAUAUGACAUGCCACUGCAUGGUGGUGUGUGGAAAGGGUUUUACUGGUUUUGGAUGGGCUCACGGCCUAUCAGCUUGUUGGUGGGGUAAUGGCCUACCAAGGCGACGACGGGUAGCCGGCCUGAGAGGGUGACCGGCCACACUGGGACUGAGACACGGCCCAGACUCCUACGGGAGGCAGCGGUGGGGAAUAUUGCACAAUGGGCGGAAGCCUGAUGCAGCGACGCCGCGUGAGGGAUGACGGCCUUCGGGUUGUAAACCUCUUUCAGCACGGAAGAAGCGAGAGUGACGGUACGUGCAGAAGAAGCGCCGGCUAACUACGUG
rnacentral:rRNA from 1 species